rnacentral:rRNA from 1 species
AUGGCCAGAUUAAAGACUGCAAGCUGGCAAGUUCUUCCUUUCGAUUUCUCAAUCGUUAGGUUAUGGAUCAUCUCCCCCUUGCUAGCAGAUACGAAGUACAGAAAAUUUUGUGACCAGAUACGAAAUACAGAUACAAAAAGACCAGCCAAUGGUCUACAUUCCACGCGCUUCCUUCUUGAAGCCAGUCUGACUGCCAAACUGGAAAUCCACAUAUACGGCCAUUGGAAUCGAUCCCACAAAACAACAGAAGCAUGUGUUGUGACUAAUCUGCCAUGGGCAAUUUCAAAGGAAAAAACACGCUACAUUCACAGGUCAGCCAACUGA